GUAGGUGGCGAGCGUUGUCCGGAAUUAUUGGGCGUAAAGCGCGCGCAGGUGGUUCUUUAAGUCUGAUGUGAAAGCCCCCGGCUCAACCGGGGAGGGUCAUUGGAAACUGGGGAACUUGAGUGCAGGAGAGGAAAGUGGAAUUCCACGUGUAGCGGUGAAAUGCGUAGAUAUGUGGAGGAACACCAGUGGCGAAGGCGACUUUCUGGCCUGUAACUGACACUGAGGCGCGAAAGCGUGGGGAGCAAACAGGGAUUAGAUACCCUGGUAGUCCACGCCGUAAACGAUGAGUGCUAAGUGUUGGGGGGGUUUCCCGCCCCUCAGUGCUGCAGCUAACGCAUUAAGCACUCCGCCUGGGAUACGGUCGCAAGACUG
rnacentral:rRNA from 1 species